CGGACGGGUGAGUAACGCGUGGGUAACCUGCCUUGCACUGGGGGAUAACACUUAGAAAUAGGUGCUAAUACCGCAUAAGCGCACGGUCCUGCAUGGGACAGUGUGAAAAACUCCGGUGGUGCAAGAUGGACCCGCGUCUGAUUAGCUGGUUGGCGGGGUAAAGGCCCACCAAGGCGACGAUCAGUAGCCGGCCUGAGAGGGUGGACGGCCACAUUGGGACUGAGACACGGCCCAAGCUCCUACGGAAGGCAGCAG
rnacentral:rRNA from 1 species